CGGGGCGUGGCGCAGCCUGGUAGCGCAUCUGCUUUGGGAGCAGAGGGUCGUGAGUUCGAAUCUCACCGCCCCGACCA
rnacentral:tRNA from 1 species